GACAGAGGGGGCAAGCGUUGCUCGGAAUCACUGGGCGUAAAGGGCGCGUAGGCGGGAUGGCAAGUCAGUCGUGAAAUCUCUCGGCUCAACCGAGAAACGUCGGCUGAUACUGCCGUUCUUGAGGGAUGCAGAGGAGACUGGAAUUCCCGGUGUAGCGGUGAAAUGUGUAGAGAUCGGGAGGAACACCAGUGGCGAAGGCGGCACUCUGGGCCGGAACUGACGCUGAGGAGCGAAAGCGUGGGGAGCGAACAGG
rnacentral:rRNA from 1 species